rnacentral:misc_RNA from 1 species
AGGGAUCAUUACCGAGUUCAUGCCCUUACGGGUAGACCUCCCACCCUAUGUUAUACUACCUUUGUUGCUUUGGCGGGCCGCCCGGCUUCGGCCAGGCUACCGGCUCCAGCUGGUAAGCGCUCGCCAGAGGACCCUCAACUCUGAAUAUCAGUGUCGUCCGAGUACUAUAAAAUAGUUAAAACUUUCAACAACGGAUCUCUUGGUUCUGGCAUCGAUGAAGAACGCAGCGAAAUGCGAUAAGUAAUGUGAAUUGCAGAAUUCAGUGAAUCAUCGAAUCUUUGAACGCACAUUGCGCCCCUUGGUAUUCCGAGGGGCAUGCCUGUUCGAGCGUCAUUACAACCCUCAAGCACUGCUUGGUAUUGGGCUCCGCUGGCUCCAGCGGGCCUUAAAAUCAGUGGCGGCGCCGUUUGGGCUCUGAGCGUAGUAAAUAUCCUCGCUAUAGAGACCAGGCGGUUCUUGUCAUCAACCCCCAACUUUCUAAGUUUGACCUCGGAUCAGGUAGGGAUACCCGCUGAACUUAA